rnacentral:lncRNA from 1 species
UUACAUAACUAGACAUCAUCACACAGUGCUCAAAUAAUAACUUAAAGAGGUAUUAAUUUGAUUACAUCAUGAUGUCCGAGACAUUCACAUAGUCUUAAACAUAGAUCAAAGUGCGAAUACAAAAUAUAGUAAUAUAAGGCCUUCACAGGCAGCCGACUGGGGGUGUGCCGCUAACCCAUACCUAUAACUCAUCAUAGUCUUGAAACUCCUAGAAGUCCUCCGCCUUCAUCUUCUCCUGAGCAGGGGUUGCAUUGCGGACAACCUGGUGUUUUGGUGUUUUAAGCAAGGGUGAGUAUACAUCAACGUACUCAGCAAAUGUCCCGUUUGGCUAAAGUGGACUAGUUGUAUGUGGGGUGAAGCUCAGAGCAGUUGCUUUUAGUUGGUCAGGUAAUUAUUACUAGUAGAGAGCUAAGUUUUAGCAAUAAUCCCAAGUUAUUAACCCAAAGGUACUCCCUCCAAAAGGAGAAUACCAGAAUCUAUAGUCAUAAUCAUCACCAUUAAAAUCAUCACCAUUAGAACCAUUAUCCUCAUCAUCAUUUGUAAUCAUAGUAUCUCUAAUCAAAGGAGCUCUCAAGGUCGCUCAUAACCGUUAGCACGGCUGAUAUAUCAGUUUCUAACCCUCUGCAGAGGUCGCACACUUUACCCACGAGUCAUGAUUCCCUCUCUAGGCCGGGUUUGCAAGACCCUUGUUCACUCCCGAGGUAAGCAGCUAGGGAUUCACUACGAAGCCUUUACAAAGAUUCCCCGAAGAUGUAGGCAGAGCAAGCCGCGUACACCGAGCCCCAUUAACGACACGACGGCGAAGCAAACUACACCUCAGUUCCUCUAAUUAAUUAGCUAAGGGUGUCCCAUUCAUGGUUGUACUGUUAUCCCAGGUGGCCAUCCAACGAACAAGUCCUUACGGAGAGGCACUCGAGAAACAGCUCGAGCCCCCUUCAAUAUCACCAUGCCAAAACCAUAUCCAAAAGUAAGCAUCGUAUCAUAAAUAGUCUCAAAUGUUCAUUGAUUAUAGUAGAGCGCUAGCAUAGAGCUAAUCCAGAAAUAAUCCAACCCAAAUAAGUGAUCAAGGACAGGAUAAACAAAAGACUAGUAAAUCCUUAGGUAUAAAUUAUAUAAAUGCGGGGAGAUGAAUUAUAAAAUGAGUAGGACAUAGAUAGGUCAGAGGACACUUGCCUUCACCAACCAGUUGCUGCUUAGGGUCUUCUCCUGCAACUUACUCGGACAUCGCCAACGGACCGUUAUCUAUAUGAGUGCAAACAUACAUUCCACAUUCUUAACAUAGAAGGAAACAAUACACCACAAAAUGAAACAGAUCAAUUAAACAGACACAUGGCGUAGAGCUCGCAUUUACGACUAUGCGAGAAAAGAAACUACGACGGUCAAAGCUACGGCCGAGAGACAUAGUGAUUACACUAAGUGGUUAUGGAUUAAAAUAUUUAUUACGGUAUAAUUAUAUUAAUUGAUAUUCAUGCCACGCAUAAAUAAAAUUGCUACUUGGUCGUGAUUAGUUUGGUGCUCGAUUAACCAUCGUUCCACUGUGCACAUUAAUUAGCAAACACGAUUCUAGGUGGAUCAGAAGAUCAUCGCGCGGCAAAGCGCACGACACACAAAAAUGGUGUGCACGCUGUGCGAGAAACAACACAUGACCCCAGCGAGAAUUAAAGCGUUACGGCACGCGCGAAGCACGCCGAGGGCACGCGCGCACUGGGCCUGUGCGCCGAGGCCGCGCCAUGGCCGUGCGCCAAGGCAGUGAUGAGGUUGUGCGUUGGGCCACGCACUGAGGCAGCCACGCCGAGCGCUGGGCCAAGGGCCAUGCGGGGACAAGGAGGUCGCGCCGAGGCAGGGGGCCGCACCGGGGCAGGCCCGCGCCUAGGCAGGGGCGCGUCUGGCAGGGGAGGGGGCCGCGCUGGGACAGGGGUGUGCCGUGCAGGGGAGGGGCCACGCCGGGGAGGGAGGAGGAGAGGGAGGGGGAGGGGAGGGAGCUUACCACGGACGCAACGAAUGGUGGCAACCGCAGCCCUCCUGUGAUCCGAGCGAGGAACGAGGCAGGGAGAGAGUGCGAGAGGAGGAAGAGGGAGAGGGGGCGGUUUCUCCUCUCCUAGGUCGUGGGCGCGCGC